rnacentral:lncRNA from 1 species
UGACGGAAGUGAAACCAUUUUGAUCAUAAAAAUAUCCAGCGAAACCAACAUAAAUGUUCAGAUAUGAGAUUUACUUUGGGCAUCCCUUAAUACUUUUAUGGGCUGAUCAGAUUAAUUAGAAGUGCAGGUUUUCUUUCAUUUAAUUUUCACUUCUUCAAGGAUGCUGGUAUGCCACAAAUUAAACGAGAUGCUAAUGAGUAGCACAGAGGCCCCGCGGUACGGA